rnacentral:misc_RNA from 1 species
CCUCCUUACCAUUACGUCGAUAGACGCACUUGAUGCAGUGCCUACACAGAUAGUCUUGUUUAUAUUUAAAGAUGGCUUAAAUAAAAGCCCUUGGCUUUGAUUUAAGAUCAAACCUAAGUGUUUUGAAUUAAGCGCUAUGUUCUUUAACAAUUUGGAAAGCUGAUAUUAAUAGUAAUCAAUCAAAAUUGAGUAACUGANAAGUCNAAAGACGUACUUUUUACUCUACUUGACUUGAAUUGCUUGUUAUCAACAUUGAUUGAUANCNAGGCAAUUCUUCCGAUUAGCUUGUCAUGCAUGCAACAUUACCCUUGUCCGAUUUCAAAAGGCGGACAUGAGGCCNAUACUCAAGGCUUUUUAGGGUUGA